rfam:Ciona savignyi cont_36255, whole genome shotgun sequence.
GGUAGCAUGGCCGAGCGGUCUAAUGCGCUGGUUUAAGGCACCAGUCAUUUCGAUGGCGUGGGUUCGAAUCCCACUCCUGCCA